CACGCCGUAAACGAUGUCAACUUGGAGUCUGUGCCAUUGAGCGUGGGCUCCGAAGCUAACGCGAUAAGUUGACCGCCUGGGGAGUACGGCCGCAAGGUUAAAACUCAAAUGAAUUGACGGGGGCCCGCACAAGCGGUGGAGCAUGUGGUUUAAUUCGAUGCAACGCGAAGAACCUUACCUGGCCUUGACAUGUCUGGAACCUUGUAGAGAUACGAGGGUGCCUUCGGGAAUCAGAACACAGGUGC
rnacentral:rRNA from 1 species